CACCCACGCUCGUUUGAUUUGGCGGACCCACGUAUCAGUAGCAGCCGAGAUUUUUUAUUCAAAGCAUCGAUUGCCCACCCGUUCAUUUCCUCUCCUCAUCCCCUUUCGUCUCCUUCAUUUCGUCUCUGUCAUUUCUUCUGCUCAUCCCCUCUCUCUAGGGUUCCUCUCUCAUCCGCCAAAGGGGCAUUUGCUCCAAUCCACCACCAUCUGCGGGCGAAUCUGGGCUCUCGCGAGAGCAUCUCCGAGUGGGAUCAAACCGCAAAUCUAUCCAGGGAAGUGCAGAUCAGUGUAGGUGAGUGCAUUACCCGCGCACCACCCUCUCGAGUCCACGUCUCUCGUCCACAGGAGUGUUUGAUUUCUCGAGGCUUUCUCACGCUGAGGUGUUCCUAUCCUUUUCGGUUGUUUUUCCCCAUUUUGCUGCAUCUGAUUACCCCCAUCACGCAUGCAGCGAUUUGAUUUUGGGGUUGUUUUUUGGUGAUGGUUAUCAUCUAGGUCAUUUGAAAUCGAGGGGGACGGGCAGGAAUUUUGCAGAUCGGUGUAGCUCAUUGGCAAGCACAUCUACAGGGGGUCCGUGAUCGACUGGAACUGCAAAUCACCCCGAGGGUUUGGCGGUAUCUCAAGUCUGAAACAGUUUUGUGGAGUUGAAGUCCUGCUCACAAGGGGAAGGCUCACACCGGAUCAGGGGAAAAUUUUCACUAGUUUUUGUCUCUAUGAAACACACACUAAUUAUAAUGCCAAGAGCACAGAAGCAACGACAUGCCCGUGCGGCAUCAUCCAAUGCAAACAUUGGAUACAGGGCAUUCCCUGCUAGACUUGUGAAGUUAUAUGAAUACAUAUCUAAAGAUCAGCAGGCUAUGAUUUUUGAUGCAAAGGGUAGUGGAAAUUGGAGAGCCCUAAAGAGGGGUGCACAAUAAGGUGAAUCCAUCUCUCUACCUUGUUUCUUCGAUUUUGCCAUCUGCUGGUUUCAUUGUUUAAUCAUGGCUUGCUUGCUUCAUCAGCUUGGGCAAGGAAGCAGCUAAGCAAUCAAUAAGUCUCAUGAGGCAACAGACUAUCCCCACAGCCCCUCUGCACUAUGUGUUUUUUAUGUUUCUAGGUAUGGUACUAUAUUUGAUUUUUCCUAGUUGAAAUUAACACUAUAUUUGUAAAAAAUAUCUAAAAAAUGACAAAGCAAUUGCAUCUAUAUUUAUUCAAUUUUAAACCAAUUCAUUUUAGAUGGUGGAGAAAAAGGAACCUAUUGUAGGGGCUUGACUAAGCAAGUGCAAAACUACAUGUUGGAUGCUUGCGACCCACAAACUUUUCUACUAGCAUUAUUAGAAGCAUUUCAAUAAAAUUAAGUAGGCAUUUAAAUACUAUUCGGAAAGCAUUUUAAAUGUCCAGUUCAAGCAAUUUCUUUAACAUUUUCAUACAUCUCAUGUAACAACUAAUGGACUCUCAUUUUUCCUGGAACCAAAUCUUUUACAUCAUUACAAUCACUGGACAAAUAGACUAGGUUCCAAUAGAUGAAUAGGCAAUUGCCUUUUUCGGAAUCAAAAGUUCCUUGCUUAUUUUCCCGAUACAUUUUUGGAGCAGUGCGACAUAAUUGACUUGCAAAUCCCCGCACUUCUUCCUCUUUGCUUAAGCAUUCAACCCCUUAGAUCACAUAUUAGACCACUUCAGUUCCUGCUGAUUGUUCAUGUUCAUAUAUAUCAUGUCUAGCAUUUAAGUUGAGCUAAGCAAUUUAGUGAUUAUUCAGUACCAAUUUAGUAAUCCUGUAUAGGCAGUAAUAUUGUAUUUAUUAGACAAUAACAUAUUUUAUUGAUUAAACAUUUGGUUUACUGGAAUUUAUUUGUAGGUUGCCUAUGCUAAAUCGACAAGGACUCAAGGAGAUUGUGCAUUAUUAGUCUAGCAUUGUUUUGUAUGAAAAUUUCAUCACUAAAGAUAUGUAGUAAAUAUUUGUGAAAAACACUAACUCUGCAUAAAGUACAGCGGAACCUAAUCAUAACACUUCUGUUAUUGUGUUUUCGAUCUUGGUGGUGCGGGUAACAAGUCCACCGUUUUUCUAUAUCUUUGUCCAAAAUAAUAUAGUUCAAUAGGCAAUAACAUGGUUCUGAUUAUGCAAUUUUUAUAGUUAUGACUAGGUAAAACAAUGUACUUUGUUAUGCAAAAUUACGGUUCCCACCUAGGCAAUAUGGGAGGGAAUAAGGACAUAUUAUGAUUUUAGAUUAUACAAAUCAAUAUAAUUCAUUAGGCAGUAAACUACUUGGAAUGGACAUCUAAAAUGCUUAAUUGGAAUAAAACUCAGGCUUAUAAAACAACCAGAUAUAAAUUGACUUGCAUUAUAGAUACAGAUUGUACAUAGCACUACUGGCUUGUAAAACUCACUGGUUUGCUGCUUUCUUAUGCCACCUUUGACACUCAGGCUGCUAAUUUGAUCCAUGUUUUUGUUUCCUGGAUGUGUAGUUUUGAUUGGUUCACAAGCACGUUUAUAGAUAAACUCUUCAAAGUGUAUGACAUGGAAAUACACAACCAAAUAUUCUACACGACAAUGUGCUCAUGUCUUCUUAGUUUAACUGAUCUGAUACUCCAUAAUCAUCUGAUUCAGCUGUGGACUUUAUGUUUUGUCAUCCAUAUUGCUUCUCUGAAGUCGUAAUCCUAUACAGUGUUGUCUGGCUAGUCAGUUCUUCAUAUCCUACACCAUUCUAACAUUUGAGACUCUCACAUUUGCUAUCAUAAUGACAACUAGACAGCUGGUGAGCAUAUUGCUGUCCUGCGGCUGGUUUGUACAUCCUCUCAGCUGGAUGUAGUGGCUUGGUGCAGCAAUUGUAUUCGGAGCACUGUACACAAAGAAUUUCUUAAGAAGUAAACCACAGAAAGCAGCAGCUGCAAGCCCGCCAGGCAGUUCUAGCCUGAAUCUUCCUCACAAUAGUUGACAAAAUAGUAUAGGAAAAAAUCGACUUGUUGUACCGGAACGAAGUCUGUGUCCGAGAUCAACAGCGUCAUGACAAGUUAACUGGGCAGAUAGAUUCCAGAUCUAGCUCUGUUACUACCUAACCUGGAGGAGAUGAAUUGGUGGCCCUAGUGUUAGUCCCGGUUGUAAAUGCUUUUGACCAUGUUCUAAUGUGAUCAUAAUUUAUAUAAACUUUGGUUAUGAGGUUCUUCAAAUUUGCUUUA